CAUGCAAGUCGAACGGUAACAGAACUAGCUUGCUAGUUGCUGACGAGUGGCGGACGGGUGAGUAACGCGUAGGAAUCUACCAAGUAGUGGGGGACAACAGUUGGAAACGACUGCUAAUACCGCAUAAUCCCUGAGGGGCAAAGGAGGGGAUCUGUUUACAGACCUUUCGCUAUUUGAUGAGCCUGCGUGAGAUUAGCUAGUUGGUGAGGUAAUGGCUCACCAAGGCGACGAUCUCUAGCUGGUCUGAGAGGAUGAUCAGCCACACUGGAACUGAGACACGGUCCAGACUCCUACGGGAGGCAGCAGUGGGGAAUAUUGCACAAUGGGGGAAACCCUGAUGCAGCCAUGCCGCGUGUGUGAAGAAGGCCUUCGGGUUGUAAAGCACUUUCAGCGAGGAGGAAAGGAGUAUGUUUAAUAAACGUGCUCUGUGACGUUACUCGCAGAAGA
rnacentral:rRNA from 1 species